rnacentral:rRNA from 1 species
GAUGAACGCUAGCUACAGGCUUAACACAUGCAAGUCGAGGGGAAACGGCAUUGAGUGCUUGCACUCUUUGGACGUCGACCGGCGCACGGGUGAGUAACGCGUAUCCAACCUUCCCAUUACUGUGGGAUAACCUGCCGAAAGGCAGACUAAUACCGCAUAGUCUUCGAUGACGGCAUCAGAUUUGAAGUAAAGAUUUAUCGGUAAUGGAUGGGGAUGCGUCUGAUUAGCUUGUUGGCGGGGUAACGGCCCACCAAGGCGACGAUCAGUAGGGGUUCUGAGAGGAAGGUCCCCCACAUUGGAACUGAGACACGGUCCAAAAUCCUACGGGAGGCAGCAGUGAGGAAUAUUAGUCAAUGGACGGAAGUCUGACCCAGCCAAGUAGCGUGCAGGAUGACGGCCCUAUGGGUUGUAAACUGCUUUUGUAUGGGGAUAAAGUUAGGGACGUGUCACUAUUUGAAGGUACCAUACGAAUAAGGACCGGCUAAUUCCGUG